ACUCCUACGGGAGGCAGCAGUGGGGAAUAUUGGACAAUGGGCGAAAGCCUGAUCCAGCCGUGCCGCGUGUGUGAAGAAGGUCUUCGGAUUGUAAACUGCUUUUAUAAGUGAAGAAUAUGACGGUAACUUAUGAAUAAGCACCGGCUAACUACGUGCCAGCAGCCGCGGUAAU
rnacentral:rRNA from 1 species